UUUCAAAUUCUAUAUAUUUAGAGGCAGCAGUUAUUCUUUUAUUUUCUUCUUCUCUUACCACAGAGUGGGGACAGAUACUUAUAUAUGAUAUACUUACCCUAAUAGUCCUCUUCUGCAGCACAAAGAUGGUAUAUAUAUCGGCAGCAUUGCCCCAUAGCAAUAUACCGUAGGACAUAAUACUAUGAAAAUAACUGAACUAAUCGCUGUGUGCUAAUGGCUUAUCUUUUUAAUGACAUCAGCUGCAGAGCUAAGGCUAUUCGCCAAUCCUUCAAAAUGGAGAUACAUUUGUUAAAUUGGAGUCAAGACAAAUCUCCAACAAUAUUUUAUUUGUUUGACCUCCUCUCUGCUUCACAGAACACUCGCGUGUACAAUUGUGGAACAUCAUCUGUAAACACCGAACAUAAGUAUAUGUUAGUACUUAGUAAUCAUCUAAGUUAAGUAAGAUGGUAGUAGUUAAGUGAAGUUGCUAGAGAUGUUGACUUGCGAAAGGCUGGAACGAGGAAAGAAGAUGUCUCGUAAAGAGAUGAAACACGAGACAAAGUGGAACUUAACGGAAUAAACACUCCAGAUCAGCUAUUAUAACAUAUUUAAUUUGAAAAUUUGAAAAUGAAUUUCCGCAAAAGAACGCAUAUUUCCAAAUUUCCAAUUCUACUAUCAUUUAUUAAAUUUAUUUGGAUCUUUUAGAUCAGUGCGAAAGUCUUAGAAAUCAAAAUGUUAUUGGUUUGCAAUUAGAAUUGGGUUUCCAUAGUAUGCCUGCAGAUAAGGUGAAUCGUACCCUCGCUUGUUCCUCUGUCACAUACAACAAUCACUGUACCUCGGU